rnacentral:rRNA from 1 species
AUACGGAGGAUGCAAGCGUUAUCCGGAUUUAUUGGGUUUAAAGGGUGCGUAGGCGGUUUGCUAAGCGGGAGGUGAAAUGCCGGCGCUCAACGUCGGAGGUGCCUCCCGAACUGGUGGACUGGAAUGACUCUGCCGUGGGAGGAAUGUGUAGUGUAGCGGUGAAAUGCUUAGAGAUUACACAGAACACCGAUUGCGAAGGCAUCUCACGAAGGGUUGAUUGACGCUGAGGCACGAAAGCGUGGGGAUCAAACAGGAUUAGAUACCCUGGUAGUCCACGCAGUAAACGAUGAUGGCUAACCGCUGGUUUAUUCGGAUCAGUGGCCAAGCGAAAGCGAUAAGCCAUCCACCUGGGGAGUACGACCGCAAGGUUGAAACUCAAAGGAAUUGACGGGG